rnacentral:rRNA from 1 species
UGAGCAAUCUGCCCUUCUCAUCGGAAUAAGCGUUGGAAACGACGUCUAAUGCCGAAUACGACCUCCUUUCGCAUGAUCGGAGGUGGAAAGCUCCGGCGGAGAAGGAUGAGCUCGCGGCCUAUCAGCUAGUUGGUGAGGUAAUAGCUCACCAAGGCGAUGACGGGUAGCCGGCCUGAGAGGGUGACCGGCCACACGUGGGACUGAGACACGGCCCAGACCUCGUACGGGGA